rnacentral:lncRNA from 1 species
ACCUCGAGGUAUCGCUUUGUGUUAGACAGUUGAAACGUCAGAAUUUUACUGUUUUUAUUUUUUGUGGGUUUUUUUUUUUUGUUUUUUGUUUUUUUUGUUUUUUGUUUUUUGUCUAAAGGCAAUCUAACAGAUGGGAACCCUGAUAAGUUCGUGCCCGUGCAGCGUCGCAGGGGCGCGAGGAGACAGCGAUCAAGUCUGUUACUCGUUACAGUACUGUGAACGUCAACAACGAAAACUGCUGCGUGGGAACACUGGCGACGGACAGAGCCACCUCUUGCUUACGACACUGAGUGUUGCAAAUAAUGCCUAGACCAGAGCAAUGCAGGUGCCACGGUUCACCACAGGCAAGACCGACAAAGGGGAGGCUGUGGGCUCCCAUCAGGCACCUCACUGCUCACCAGCCACACGGCUGAGCGACUGCCGAGGAAGCAGAGAGGUUACCCGGCUGAGGGUGGUGGGUGGGGAAGAGACUGCUUUGCUGCCUGUCAAGCAACCAGGCCUCUUCCCCACAGAGCAAGAGUUUGCUUGUCAUUCAGUUCACUUAAAAGCGAGUUAGGAAGAAGAAAGAAAAAUGAAAACGGGAGCAAGGAGGAGCUUCUGAAACUGACAUAAAGAUGAAGGGCAGCACAGGUGAGGCUGGUUUCCUGAGCUUGAAAGGGUUCUGAAUUCAGGCAGGGAUGACACUUUUCUCCGGAGAAGACUGGCGCGUGGGAGCCCCCCUGCUGCACCUGGUUGACCCUGAUGGCUGGGACGGAGCCUGUCCCUCACUGGCGGGGGCGNNNNNNNNNNCACGAGCCACAGGCUCUUGCUACCUCGCUGUGCCGACCUCGCCACCCUGCCGCUUCCUGCUCUUGACCCCCUUCCCUGCCAGGACGUGGGGACACCAUGGACACAGAAACCGUAGAACAAGAUGCAAAGCUACCUCCUUCCCGUCUGCCGUCUCCUCCCCCCGUUGCAGAAUGCAUAGUUACAAUUCACGUUACAAAAUAAAGAAGCCAUGAAUGAAUGACUGCACGUGGGACCUUUUUGUUUUUUUCCUGAAAAAAGAAAAGUCCAACAACCUCUUCUUAAAUUCGGUAUGAAAAUUCACAUUUGCAUAAUGAUACAUUUCAAGGCCAUUAGAGAGGAACGAGCGUGAAAGCCCUGGGAAGAAGCUGCAGCCCCUCUCCUCCCUGUGUCUUCCUGAACGAAGCUGAAGGAAUCUGGCGGAGGGACUGUGUCCCUCUUGGAGGAGUUCUGAGGAAUUACGGAAACGGCCCUUGGCAUUCACUUGCUAUCUCUUUAGAAGACAGGGAGUGGGGACAAGCGGUGGAAUCGCUUAAAACAGACAUAAAACAAAGAGACACUGCAGAUUUCUGUGUUUGACCCUAACAGUUUUGAAGAAAUAAACUAGGAUUUCAGAGUUUUCUCUUUUCUUUCUCAGACACUUCAAUCUUAUUCUUUCCAAAGCCUUUCCUUGUGUGUAAUAAUACCCUGUUUGCAUACACGGCCACCCCAUGGGAUGUCCAUUUGGGAAAAGAACUGCCUUUUCAGGACACAGCCCGGCAGGGUAGAAAGGCAGGGGCUAGAAGACGCCUUCUGGACUUGUGCAGAUGUGUCACAGACAUCACCGCACUUCAAUUCUCCAGUGCUUAUAGAAAAACGAAAACCAGGACAGCCACAGCCACGCACGCGCACAAGCAGACACGGAGAAAACUAGGCGAUGCAGGCGGCUACGUUCAGCCGCACCCCCUGGACUAACCUGGUCUCUGUCAUCUGUGCACCGUCCCCUCCCCCAAGCCCAGACCCUCUUCCCUGCGACUCCGCACUGUGCAAUACUGAUGCAAAUGAAAACUCCACAGACGCCCCCGCGGACUCCUGAAGAAAAGCUUACUUCCCUAAAGACUAAGCUGACCGCCUGUUUUCUCCCAAUGCAGAGGUUCUUCCUAAAACAGAUGGUCUCUGAGCUCACAAAGGCACAUUCAGAAAUACUACACUUAAGUAAAAAUGUUUCUCUACUCCAAAAGACCUUAUAAUUUAAACAAACAACCUCCCCCCGCCCCCGCCACAAACAAUAACCUACAAAGUGUUAUAGGUUGAAUUUGAACUCUGGGGAUAGGGGAGAAGGAGACCUUUUCAACAUAAAGACUCAAUUGUUCCCUAAUCUCAGAGAUGGCUAUUCCAGCCAAAUCUGCUGAAAACAUGCCGUUUACACUGCAGAGAACAGGCUUGGCCUACGCCUUCUGCCCGGCACACAGGCAUCUUCAUUCUGUUCAGGAGUCAAGAUGGCAGAAUGUAAAGAAUAAAACUAAAAGUACACAGCAUCUGAGGUCGAUAUGGAAUCUGGCCACUAACUUUACAAAAACUGCUCCCCACCCUGUAAAAGUGAUGAAUGUGAGAGCGAACAUUUGCAACUAGUUAAUAGCCCGUAAAACUUUAGUUUCUGCUAGCUAUGUUAAUAACAGCUCUUCCAAAUUCUUAGACAGGAAUUUUCUUUCUUUCUUUCUUUUUUUUUUUUUUGCAUAUCUUACACACCACAAUCAACCCACAGGAACCUGGAAGAACCAAUUGCUAAUUUAUGCCACAUUCAUGUCAGAAGAAGUGGGAAAGUUCUCAGAACAGGAGCCAUAGUAAUAGAAAAUCAAGCUGCUAUAAAUAAAAUGGACUGAAUGGCAAUCAAUGCAUAAUGCUGAUUUACUGAGGGGACACUGACGAAAGGAGCUGGUUUGGAACCCUAACUUGCAGCACCGCUAAGUUAACUUCUGGGCCGCUGCAAAUGAAAAAUAUCAAGAGCUAGGGACUGAGGGAUCAGAGGUGCCAUAAGGGCCAUCCGUUUUUUCACAGUGUCUUGGGGAUCUGUACUUUUUCUUUUUAAACACCUAAAAUUGGGUCAUGGCGCCGGAUCCAAAUUGCCAGUAGAGGUCCCCGGGUCUGGCGGAAGACAUUCCUCCUUUCAGCUACUCAUGCGGUAGACAGAGACCAAGCUGUGACGUUUGAGAGAUGGGGACCUCUAGCCGCUAGGAAUCAAGUGUUUAAAAAAACCCAGGAAACUGGUAAAAACCGGAAAGCCCAAGUCAACAGGACCAAAAUACUCCCAAGUAAAUCUACGUCACAAGUCCCUGCACGCAUGCCAGAACGUGGCGGGGGAGAUGAGGCUCCCAGCGAAUUUUCUCCAUGCCCUGAAGCCCCCUGACCCCAGCAGACACGGCUCUUGCCCGGGAAAACCGAGGAAAGCAAAGUUCUUCUCUUCCACGGCAUCCUCACUGAAUCCUGCUCUUAGGUCACUGCCAACCAAUAAAGCAAAGCUUCCAGCAACUUGACAAGACAGAGGGGGUUGAUGGGAAAGAGAAGACACGAAGGAGGUCAGGAGCAGAAAAACAGGAACCUUUUCCUACUGGCCCGAGAGAGAGACUUUCCAAAUCACUGUAGUUGUCACCAGAGAAGGCAACGCAUGGUACCGGAGGGCGACGGCCUGGGGAAGGCUCUCAGUGUCCUACGGCAUCGAGACCAAAAAAAGCACACGUAGCUUCCUCAACUUCUGUUGGUUUGUUUCCUUUACAUGUAGCCCACUGCCUUUGGGGCCUGUCCAGAACCACUCCAAUUUCCAUACCGGGCAAGCGUCCUCCUGUCUGUGGAGCGACUGGACUACGAGCACACACACACGCCUUCCCCCUGCUUAGGACAUCUGGGUGUGUGUGCGAAGGCACUAAAGCGGCUUUAGAGAAAUUGCAGGCAGCAACCCCACCCACUCCCUUUACCUGUCAAGCUGGAGUUUCUUUCCCACUGGGAAGCUUGGAUGUUUAAAAGAAGCUGUGGUCACGCUUGGGAAUUCUAACCCCUGGCCCCAGGAGGGAAUACAAAAGUAGAAUUCAACAUCACCAAAAACUGAAAGGAAGUACUACUCCACCUCUUCGGCUGAGGGAUGGGGGUAACAGAGCAGCAGAUCUUCAAAACAGCAAUUAAAAUGAGCACAACAGGAGCUGGGAGCUAAAAAAGUAAAAUCACUUGUUCCUUCUUAGAUUCUUCUACUAUUUUCUCCUCCUCCCAUAACAAACGGAGGUAAGACAGACAUUCUUCAUGAAGAGAACAGUCCAUAGAUAUUUUUCCUCUAGUAAUGCCUACAUUUAAAAUUUGUUCCAAAAAUUAUUAACCUGUAUUUCCUAACUCUUUAUAUAGAUUCUCAGCAAUCCAACCGUACUAUUUUACAGAUUAGAGUUACUUUUUUUGUUGUUUAAGCUGUUGUUUCUUUCUUUCUUCCUUUCUUUUGAUGCUGGGGUUGGGGAGACAGGGAGAAAGAUUCCUCCAAAAAAAUAAAGUAAAAUAAAAUAAAUUCCUAGGGGAGAUUUUAGUUCAGUCUUAAAUGGAAAGGAACGAAGUGAUGGCAUACCCACUUAUACACCAAACACUCUCGCAUUAAAUUACACACGAUUUCAAAUGAAUCCGUGAUAGAGCUCUUAUAAAGCAUAAUCCUUCUCCCAUAUUUUUUAAGAUAGUGAAUUUACCUGUUGCUGCUAAAUUGAUAAUUUUUAAAAAAUAUUUCUUUCUACGUGUUUUAAAAUGUAUCAUCCCCAGUAUGACAAUAGUGUUUGGAGACUUUUCUUUUUACAUUUUUUUUUUAAGUAAAAAUUGUUUAAACUUUUUGAAGUUUCAGGAACUUGUAAAAGUUUAUUAACAGGAAAGAAACAGCCGUCUAUCUAGGAUAAGAUACAGUUAAAUAAACCAUCUUCCAAAAACUGGCUUCCUACCCUAGAAUUCCUGAGAAUGCUUGCAAAUUUUUAAAGCAGGAAAAUAAAUGUUAAAAACAAAAACAAAAAACACUGUUAAAUGCUCCCAGAGUUAGUCUUCAUCUAAAAUAUAUAUUUAUAUGUAUAUAUAUACGCACUUUUUGGUCUUUUUUUAAGUUUUUAAUUUUUUCCCUUUAAGCUUAUGAUGGAAGAACAUUUUAGCUUCUCAUGUUUAUUUUUACAUAUUUCAAAUCCCUCAUUAUGUCUUGUAAACAAGAGGGGCUCUAGCACCCGGCUUUCACCGUAGUAUCGUAAGGAACUCAACUAACCCAUAGUGCAGGUCAAGGAACCAACAGGCAGAAGAAAGGAGGGUGCGUGGCAGGGAGCGGGGGACAGGAUGGGACAUGGGACAUGGCAGGGAACCAAGAGUGGCAGUGGACAGUCACCACUGGCUGGCAGGAGCCUCGGGACAGCUCCUGGCCCAGGGACACUCCGAGUGAGCCUCCUGUAGGUGUCUGAACACGGCUGCUCCUCACCUGGAGGUCACCACACAUGACAGGGCUUUGCACCCCUGGCAGAGAGCAGUCAGUGGGGGCUGGAAGGAGCUGUUGUGUACACGGGCAGAAGUUGGGGGUUUGGGGAUGGCGGUGAUGAAAACCGGAGGGCACAGUUAGUUUUCUACAAGGCAUCCAAUGGGACCAAACCAACGCUGGAAACUCAAGUUUGACCACCUACCCGCGAAGGGUUCAGAAAGACUCGCGUGAGCAAACGCGCCCGUGGAUCAUGCACGUCAAUCUCUUUUCAGGCUAGGUUUACCAUCAACAGAGUAAGCCGAGAGGACUACAGAAUUCCCGUUCUUUGUCUCACAGAACCACUUGAAUGCAAAGAAUUCGUUUUUGCUUUUUCCUGUACACACCCACCCACCCACCCACACACAGAGACAAGCUAAAAGUCAAAUACAUUUUUAGGCAUUGUUGUAUCCUUCACUGAAGAUGCUAAAGAAAGAAAAACUCCCUUGUCCUCACUAGCAGCACGUUACAGAGGACAGUAGAGGUCUGCUCCCACCAAGGGUUGGAAUGGGCAGGUAUUUGCUGGUACAGAAUGUCGGCACUUUAUGUUAAACAGUAUGAUGCAGACUGGGAGGUCCACACAAGUGCUAGCACAUGACCGGCAUACGUCCCCCUCCCCCACCCCGCCAGCCAUCUGCUUUGUAUAAAGGGGCACCCCUUCAGGUCUGUGAUAACUCUUCACAAAAAGCAGUUUGAUACAUUUUGAUUCCAACAUAAGUACAUACAUGUUGGUAAUAACUGUGGAUUAAAAGUUGCCCCCUAUUCGGCCCAGAGUACUACUACAUGGAUGCUUUAAAAAAAAGAAAAAAAAAAAAAAAA